rnacentral:lncRNA from 1 species
AAUGGACACCUCCUUAUACUCCAUAAUUAAAUAAAAUUAUGAAAAAGAGGAAUCGCAUCUUAUUAGAUAUGGUGUGGUCCAAAUGAUGUGUUUCAUGAAUCUUUCGAUAUUCUUCUGGGGAUAUGCUCUCGAGGCCGCAGUGUAUAUUUUAAAUAAGGUAUCUUCUAAAUUUAUUUCUAGCACUCUAUAUAAAAUAUGGAAAGAAAAAAACUCAAUCUUAAGUAUCUUAAGAUUCG